AUUGAACGCUGGCGGUAUGCCUAACACAUGCAAGUCGAACGAGGUAGCAAUACCUAGUGGCGGACGGGUGAGGAAUACGUAGGGAUCUGCCCUUAAGUGGGGGAUAACCCGGGGGAAACCCGGAUUAAUACCGCAUGAUCUCGCAAGAGCAAAGAGGGGGACCGCAAGGCCUCCCGCUUUUGGAGGAACCUACGUCGGAUUAGCUAGUUGGUGAGGUAAUGGCUCACCAAGGCGACGAUCCGUAACUGGUCUGAGAGGAUGAUCAGUCACACCGGAACUGAGACACGGUCCGGACUCCUACGGGAGGCAGCAGUGGGGAAUAUUGGACAAUGGGCGAAAGCCUGAUCCAGCAAUGCCGCGUGAGUGAUGAAGGCCUUAGGGUUGUAAAGGCUCUUUUUACCCGGGAUGAUAAUGACAGUACCGGGAGAAUAAGCCCGGCUAACUCCGUGCCAGCAGCCGCGGUAAU
rnacentral:rRNA from 1 species